rnacentral:lncRNA from 1 species
AUGAGAGACACACAGAGAGAGGCAGAGACACAGGCAGAGGGAGAAGCAGGCUCCAUGAAAGGCGCAGGCGUGGGAUUCGAUCCGGGGUCUCCAGGAUCACAACCUGGGCUGAAGGUGGCACUAAACCAUUGAGCCACCCAGGCUGCCCCAAAUUUUCCUUUAAGCGUGGCUUUAGUUGCAUCCCCAAAGUUUCAAUUUCAUAAAUUCUCUUUCAGUUUUCAGUAUUUUUCUGACUUCCACUGUGAUUUACCCCUUUGACCCUGGGCUUAUUUAGAAAUAAUGUUUAUUUCUAGUAAUAGUUUUCUUAUUAAUUUGCAGCUUUAUUCUAAGUUGUCAGAACACAGUGUGUAUUAUCUUCAUAUUUUGAAAUCUGUUGAAACUUGUUUUAUGGCCCAACAUGGAGUCACUUUUCAUAAAUACUCCUGUGUAUUUAAGAAUAAUAUAUAUGCUGCAUAUUGUGCGGCAAUAGGUCUCUGUCCUAUGGACACCAAUCUGAUCAAGCUUGUUAAUGGUCUUGUUCAAAUCUUUUGUUUUACUGGUCUUUAAGUGCCUUUUUUUGUCCAUUAUUAAAGCAGUUACAUUAUUUACUGGAAAUUUAGAAUUAUUAUACUUUGUUGGUGAAUUAAGUAUUUUAUCAUUCUGAAAUAUUUCUCUUUAUCUCUUGGAAUAUCUUUUGCUCUGUAUCCUUUCUCUGAUGUUAAUUUAAUCACUAGGUUUUUUUUUGGUUAGUGUUUCCACAAUAUACCUUUUCCUAUCUAUCUCUAUUUGUUUGCUUUCAACCAUUUCUGUGUUCUCAUAAUUCAGUGUGUCUCUUGUAAAAUCAUAGUUUUUAAAAAUAAACUUGGCCAUCGAUGUUUAUAUAUUAAGAAAAGCAUUUUGUCACUAUAUAUAUAAUGUAUUUUGUGAUAUAUAUUUGUUCCAAAAUCUACCAUCUUCCUAUCAGAUUUAUGUUCAUCUUGCCUGAUCUAGGUCCUUUUUUUGCCCUCUUCUUUUUUGCCUCCUUUAGAAUUGACUCAAUAUUUUAAGAUAAUUUUCUUCCAUUAACUUGGCAGUUUUCAAUCUUCUACAAUUUUUGUUGGAGAGAUUACCAAACAGGCAUUAUUGAAUGUCAAAAGCUAAUUAUCAGGGUGCCUGGCUGGCUCAGUCGGUAGAGCACAAGACUCUUAAUCUUGGGGUUGUGAGUUUCAGUCCCAUACUUGGAGUAGAGAUUACAUUUAUAAUAAAUAAAUAAAUAAAUAAAUAAAUAAAUAAAUAAAUAAAUAAAUAGAAUCUUUUUUAAAAAGGCUAAUAUCAUUCAUACUUUUACUUCUAAAUGCAAGGGACCUUGGAGUAAUUUCACUUAAACCAUCCUGAUUACUGCUGAGAAUCUAAAAAAAUCUUUUAGUAUUUACAUUUUUUUUUUCAAAGAUUUUACUUAUUCACUUGAGAGACAAGGAGAGAGCAUGAGCAGAGGCAGAGGCAGAGGAAGAAGCGGACUCCCCACUGAGCAGGGAGCCCGAUGUGGGGCUUGAUCCCAGAACCAUGGGAUCAUACCUGAGCUGACAGCAGAUGCUUAACCGACUGAGCCACCCCGGUGCCCCCCUCUCUCUAUUUUUUAACAUCAUUUGGUAUUCUAUUCUGUUUAUUUUUACAUUUUUAAAAAUUGAAGUAGAGUUUAUCAUACAACCAGCUAAUGACACAAGUAAAUUCUUGUAUCAGUUAAUGACAGAGUGCUGAGUUUUUUCCAUAAAACACCACUUUUGCUGUUGGAGAAAACCAACAUGAGCUGGGGUCUCAAGUAUGCUUUCAUACCGAGAAGGAAAUGAGGCUAAAGCCCUUGUAAUGGUAGCACAUACAAGUCUCAUCAGAUACAACCUAAAGGGGGGGGGCGGGGAAGAAAAGCUGUAACAGCAGGAGUGAGUUAUCAAAGAAAGAAGCUGAUGGACUGUUUCAAUGAGAACAAUGAAAAAAGUGGACAGGGGACUAGGAAAAGCAGAGGUUACCCUGUGAAAGCAUCUUAAGGUAGAAAGGUGAGGCUCUUGUUUUUUUGUUUCAGUUUACAAAGUAUUUUCACAUACUGGACCAUGAUGAUGGUAAAGGGGGCAGGAGUAAGGGAAGGGAGGCGGCUGACUGUGCACCUCUGUCAGUGCCCUGGUGGAAAGCAGGUCCAGAAGGGAAGGGAUGGCCAGGAAGGCCUAAAGGCCAUCAUAAAAACUAAAUCCUAAAAAAAAAAAAAAAAAAAAACAACUAAAUCCAAACAGAAGGAAAAAUGUUGUGGGAAAUGGAAAUUUUUUUCUGGAUUCAGAGAUUUUCUAAAUGGAGGAACCACUUCUUCUGUACAGGCCUCAACCGUAGUCCUAGAUGGGUUGGCAGGGUCUUUAUAGGAGUUGCUUCGUAAGUGCAGAGUAUUACUGGUCGUACCGGGUGUUUCUGUAAUGUAUCUGCUAAUGAAGAUACCUUCUUCAGUGUUCUGUUACCAGCAUUGCUUCGGAGUCCUAUCAAUUUAUCCCUUCACAUACUAUUUCACUCAUUUGAGAAACACUUAUUAAAAUUUAUGCUAGGAACUAAGGAAACAGAUAAAAGACAUGGUCCCUGCUGCCAAGAAGUUGCUUGGCUUACUGAUGGAAUUUCCUAGUACCCCAUGUUGCUCUUGGUUAUGCAAACAUUGGAUUCCUAGAUUUUCGCUCAUGGUUAUUCCAUUUAGAAAAAGAGGCCUCCCGAAGGCUGUUCAUUGAGAUGGCUGUUCAGGUACUAGGUAUAAGUGCAGGUCUCAGGACAGAAUCUGAGUAACAACUGGGGCCCUUAUGCAGUGACAAGCCUGCAUGGCUUUCGCUAAAACCGUGCGAAAACAGCAAAAUGACAUCUUAGUUUUGCUUUUAAAUCCUAAUGACAGAAAAGGGAGUCAAAGAUCUGCUCAGGAAGGAAGAAAAAGGCUGUCACCUUUUUAAUAUCAAAAUCGGACGGGGACAUAGGGAGUGCUGAAGUUCAGAUGGCGUUAUGGCUCACAAGUUAAUUAGCCAAAUCAUUAGCCAAAUCAUAUUAAGCAUUCAGUUCCUCAGUUCCACUGGCCACAUCCUGAGUGUUCAAUAGUCAUGUGGAGUUAACGGCUACCACACUGGACAGCACAGAUACAGCACAUUUCCAUCACUGCAAACAGUAAAUGGAAUGGGUCUCUUAAAAAGGUUGCAAGUGUCAAUGGAUUUGGGGGGGAAAAAAAAAGGAAUUAUAAUUCAAUGGAAUGAGAGGUGUUUUUUUGUUUUGUUUUGUUUUUAAGUUCACUUGGAACUUUCUAGCAUGUAAUUAAGUCAAACAAUAAAGAUGGAGAUACACUUUCUUCUGGCUUUGGGUGUUUGGAUGACCAACUGUUGGAACUGUGUCUGUGGGGUAUGCAAGACGCUGCGCCCCUGUGUCCAGCUACCAGAUGGGCCUGGGGUCACUAACUGUGUCGUCUCCAGGUCUUCCAGGCGCUGCUUGAUGGAAAAGGCCCCUUCAAAGCAAAGCACCGAAAUAAGGAUGCACAUUCAUCCUGCAAUUUAACAAUUGGCCUGUCUGCCUACUAUUGGAUUCCAUAAUAUGAGAGAAAUCCCAUUGAACAAGAGGGUCCUUUUAUUCACGUGAUGAGACGUAAAGGUCUGCCCUUGACCUGAUCACACGAGAGGCACAGCAUGGAGUCAUUCUGCAGUGAUUUUGCUAAGUGCAACUUCUCUUGCUCACAUUGCCAUAGUAUGCUUUUCUACACUCCAUUUACUUGCUCAAAAUCCAAGUCAAUUUGAUACAUUCUACUGUUAAUCUUAAAACGCAAGACAGAUGUACACGGAAGGGUGCAGUAUUUCUUGCAUCAUGUGGAUAAAUGAGACCAGUAACAAUGUCAAACCUGUAACUGCGGCUAAAUGAGAUUGGUAGGCGCUAGUUUAUGUCUUCUGUCUACCCCCUGGUGGAGGGACUCAUUACAAGUUGUAGCCAAAGAAGGAUAAAAAAGAGAAAAAAAAGCAUGAAUUAUUUCCUGAGUAUCUAUUCAGUCCCUCCCUCAAUAAUCUAGCGUUGGCUGUUUAUAGGAGAUUGCCAGCUCCGCAGGAGAAGAACUGAAACCCAUUAAUUCCCUUUGAACAUGUUCUUUCCUGGGAAUGUCAGGAGCAGAACAACAGCGGGAGGGCUGCCCUGCCAAAAUGCUUAACUCUGAACUCAAGGGGCCAUCACUCUGGGUGCAAAAAAAAAAAAAAAAAAAAAAAAAAAA